UCUGGCCUGAUUACUGCCCACAUGCCA
rnacentral:piRNA from 1 species